UUGCAGAAUAAACCAUGCGUUGUUUUCAUCUUUACUCAUGAUUGUUAAUGGCGCUGAUGAUGAGAUGGGUGGGUUUUCUGGGCUCUGCCUUGAUCCGCGGCUCUUUUAUUAUGCAGGCAAAAUGGCCAGGCUGCUGAUUUUGUCGAAGGUUUUCAAUUAGUCAUUUGACUGAACACAUCUGUGCUGGCAUCCACCCAGAGCUGGACGGCAGCUAUUACCAGUUUACACCCGCUGAACCGUGGCCAUAAACGCGGAUGGGAAUAAACCUAAAUUGGCCUUUUAGAUAUGGUUGAAAAGUUGUAAUGUUGCAGUGUUUUAUAGCAGUGUCAGGAAGGUGUGAACUUUCCGCCUUCCGGCCCAAGAACCCGCCACAAUAUUCCACUCCAUUCAAAUGACUCACUUAUAGACUGGUUCUAAUAUCUGUUUACCAUUUUGCGCCCAUGACUUAAUCAGCCUGCUAAGUGGGUGAGAUUGUGCUGUAGAGCUGUGGCGGUUUGUAGUUUAACUGUGUUGGUAAACAAAGCCGAGUGGCUGCCUUGGAGUCGUGGGAUGCAGGUUCCCACACUCUUUUAAUGAAAUGAACACCUUGGCUUUGAAGCCGAGCAGAGGCCUCCUGGGGCUGGAAGUGUCACCUGACUGAGAAUCUGUCACUUAUAUGCACGAGGCGACCCGGUGACAGUGGUAGUUCCGCAACCUACCUGAUGCCGAGCUCCUGAGAGGAGGGCAUGAUGCUGCUGAGGGCUGAGUACUGAGGUCCCUUGGCUGCUCCCUGCACUCCCAAGGGGCAGUUGGCAUGGCGACUGAGGGCAGUAGCCAGGCUUCUGGGGCGUGAGUGGCUAAUACUUGACACAGCAGUGACCUUCCCUUGGGGCUUUAGCUUUUGGUAGUUUCACUGUGGCCUCAUGAAUGACUGUGUUCACCCUCAGUAGACAUGAUAGCCACCAACGCCUCUCAGCAAACCUUAAAAUCUGUCUUCUGUGGGAGGACCCAUUGCCUAGGGUCCCCUCCCCUCCCUGACAUGCCAUGUCAUCUUCUAUUGCCUGUUACCCCAUAAGCUGCUCCAGUCUCAGGGUACGGAUUGAAAUUUGGUUCAGUAGUGGCUUCACUCUCUGUUGUGGUAUGCUUGUAACUUUUCCACUGCUGUCUGAAAGUGUCAGACUCUUGGCCACCCUCGUCAUCUCCAUCAUCAUCUUCAAACGCUAUCACUGGCUCCUCGGGUCCUACGUUCUGGCUCUGUUGCCAUGCCACGUAGCACAUAUGAGAGUCCCUACAUGCACGCCUUCAGUCUUCAUAACAGGAGUGUCAGGACCAAAGCAAGGCACUCUCACAUGCCCACUUCAAAGACGAGUAAGUUAAGGUGUAAGCAUGUGGCAGCAACUGCUCUGGACCACACGACGAGCCACAAGGAGUCAGAGUCCACAGCGGGCAAGCACAGGGAUGCCUCUAUAAGCAGUAGGCUAUGCAGUUAGGGCAAGUGUCUUAAGCGCUGCGUCUGAAGCAGCAAGCGGAGGGCAGAAGGCUUUCUUCAGCUGAACCGGCUCUAUUUCCACUUCUCCUUACUUGGUGGGCGCUUGGGCUUGGACUGCUUCUGGUUUUCCAGUGUUGUUAGAACACCUCUGUGGUCAUACCCAGAUGCACAAAAAAGUGCUUUCGCGGCUACAGGACACUCACUUGCUCUCCACAUGGUAAGAGGAACCUACCCUGCAUGGGAGUCCAGGCCCUACCUGAUUUGAUAUUCUUAAACUCAUUAAGUUUUAGGAUUCCAAAUAACAUCUGUCAAAAGUUGAGAUUUGGGGCUGCUUGUGAAAUGAAACCAUUGAAGUUAUUAUUGGAGAAGUUACUAAGCUUUCUUUCUCUUUCUCUCUCAGGCCCGCGGACUUCAGUCCCUCAGGAAAAUCAAGAUGCUCCACGUUCUCCAAGGCACAGUCCACACAGCAGUUCUUAUUUCUGCUGUGGAGACCCUCUGCUAUGCAGCUUGCAUAGUGACUGAGGGCAGAGCUUGAACAUGAGGCUGCCUAGGUUCAAAUCAGGCAGGACAGUCCCUAGCUGCAAGCUUCUCGUGACCAUAUCUGUGCUAGCAGACCCCCAGAGAUCACCAGCAGUGGCCUGCUGGAUAUCUAGGAGCACCUUCUACAUUGCUGAUACUGUUUUGUCUGAACACCAGUUUCUCCCUGGACCAAAGAGCCCUGCACCCUCCCUGGCUCGAUUCUCGCCCGCACAGGAUGAAGAAGAGUCGCGAUGCUCUGAUGUUGGAGGCAUCAAAGGCUGAUCCCCUCAGCUGAGCAGUGACACACCGUGGCUCCGCAGCCGGGCCUGCGGAAUGCCACUCCCACUGCUGCGGAAGCCCAGACCCUCUGAAUGUGUCAGUGCCACGACUGCCCAGGCUCGCUUGGGCUGCCUUCCGCUCCUCUUCACCCGUCUCUGAUGCUGCCCUCUGACAGAGACAGGGACCUGUCCAGUCCUUCCGAACCUGCCUCCUAGUUCAAAGGGCAGCGUCUCUUUCCAAUGAUACAUCUAGAAGAAGGUGUUCUCGGCAGUUUCAUCCUGUUUUCCUAAUUGCAGUGCCGGCCAUGUUCACAGCGGAUAGUUCAGCCACCCAGGAAAACAAAACAGAUAAGGGAGAGAUGGCCACAGAGCACACCAAAGAGAUGGUCCGGGCAUUAACAUUGCACGGCUGAGCCCACGUGCCUGGUGCUAACCUGGACUCCCGUCUUCCUGUGGCCCUGUCACCCCCUGCCCUCCUGCCACAGGACCACCGUCACCUUUCCCUCUCGGAGACGUUUUAAAGCAUCUCUCUGAAUUAAACAUAAAUGCUGAGCUGCUGGCAGCAUCUCCCUUAAAACACAAGGGCUUCGCGCCGGCAACAGUGACGGGCAGAAUUCAACCUCUGCUUUCAAGCUAAAUCGAACCCUAAAAGACGGCUGGGGACCCGUUCAGACGGCCACGGCGGCUGGGUGAGACGAGGGUCUCUCUGUGAUUUGGAGGAGGCAAGCCCGUGCUCUCCUCUUGCCUUUGUUUUUGGAAAUGAGGAUAGCUUUUCAACACACUGCCCUCCGCUACUCGGAGUGAACAGUCAGAUCACGGCUUUUAUUCCCAGCUCCCUACGUCAAAGCAAAUAGAAGCUUACAGGGUGGAGCGGGGAAUGAUAAGCAAUCCCCACUGCAGCGAGUUCUUAAUAUAUAAAUUCAUCCCACAGCAGUUGAGUAGCAACUGGCAAAGCCAGAAACAAUGGAAAGCCGCCAGGCCUGGCUCUGACGAGGUCAACCAUCAAGGUUAUCUAUACGCAAUUACUGGUAUCUACAAACUUGCAUAGCUGUCAGCUGGUCAGAGCCCAGAUGAAAACUCACCAUGCGCUCAGAAAGCAAAUAUAGUUUCUGAGGAGAGCCUCAAAUUAGCUCCGUGAAUGACUUGGCUUCCAGCGUGCGCCAGCCACCCGCCUUUGGGGACAUUUCUGCAGGCAGUUCUUUGGUGUCUAAAUUUGGGCAUUAUCUUACAAAUCUCUGUUCCCGAAGUAGGAAAGAACUGGAAUUGCUCCUUAACCCUCAGCGACGAUAAAUUAUAUCACUUAACAAUAGAUAAACUCGGGACACUUUUCCUGUGCAGAGUGCCUAUUGUGAGGCACCCUCUAAUCGGUCGCAUCUCCUCUCCCCGGUCGGCCCCACUAAAGACCUGUCGGUGGGGAAGAGACACAAUAAUUUGUUUUCUAGCUCCUCCUUCAGAGCCAUCCAUCAUGCGCAGACACAAAGCUGCUCAGCAGCAGAUAUGUAUCUGCUUCCGCUUCCCAUCAGGCCAUGCCAAGGGGACGUGCUCUCGGAGCCGUGCUUCCAGAGCCUGGGAAUGGAGCCUCUACCCUCCCCAGCCUGCCUGGAAAUGGAGAGACAGGGCCUGCCAUGCUGUGUGGAAAAAAGAGCCUCCUCCUACAGAGGUCUGAGGAUGGCCGGCCUGCACCCCAUAGGUCCGUGUGUUAAAGGUUUGGUCCCCUAGGGGGCGCUGUCAGGAGAUGGUGGGUUCAGUAGAAGGCGAGGCCUCCUGUCGUCGUCGUCAGAGACACGCCUCACAAGGAAUUGUGGGAACCUGGCAUCUUCCUCUUUCCUGAUUUUUGUUUUGUUGGAUUGUUUUUGUUUGUUGCUUCCCAGCCAGUGAGGUGGGGGCACUUUGUCUCAGUGUGUGUACAUCCUACUGAGAUAUGCUGCCUCACCGGGCCCCCAUACGAGCUCCCUCAGCCAGGGACUGGGGCAUCAGAACUGUGAGCCACAAGAGCCCUUGUGUAAUAAAACAAAUUGACCACCACAUCAGCUCAAACUGUGAUCCUUACUGACAGCUACCCUCCCACGCAGGCCCUUCCAGGGCCCCCACAGAGACUUUCUAAGUAUAGAUAGGGGUUAAUCAAUGCCCGGGUGGUUUUCAGAUUAUCUGGAAGAUGUCAUACCUCUCCUCUUGCUCAUGACUCUGUCACUGUCACCAUCCUGGUCAUCCUUGGCUAACAUCUUCCUUCUGGUCUUUCUCAAGUCUUGAACGCCAUCUGUGGGCUCACUCCACCUGAACUACAAAAUGAAGGACUGUAACACGUCCACAGUGUCAUUUUUAUAUUAAUCUGCCUGGGUUUGGGGACAGAGGUACAGGUAUGAUUAUCUUCAUAAGAAACAAUUUUUCGCAUGGGAUCACAGAGAGAGGAAAAGGCCAGAUGGAGCCAGGUUGUUCCAGCUUUCCAGCAGGCCAGGACAACUUCCUACCUCCAACUCUGGCUUCUGGGUCCACCUGGAUGGAGCUGCCUUAUGUUUGUACAACUGUGAAGGUGACACACUGAACAAGUUCACACCUGAGGAAUGCCAUUUACACCACUGCUUUUAGAGAUUUCUGUAUUUAUCAUGACAGUUGUCUAGAAAAUGGCAGCCUGAACUUGUCGUUCCACAGGCUCUGCAUCUCCAGAUUCAACCAACCAGGGAGGAAAAGAAGAAAAAGAGAAAGGAGGAAAGAAAAGGAA